GAUAGCUUCUAAGGGUGCAGGGCGGAUGCCUUGGCACUAGGAGCCGAUGAAGGACGUGAUAAGCUGCGAUAAGCUUCGGGGAGUUGCACGUAAACUUUGAUCCGAAGAUUUCCGAAUGAGGAAACUCACUUAGAGUAAUGUCUAAGUAUCAUUAAGUGAAUACAUAGCUUAAUGAGGGGAACUCAGGGAACUGAAACAUCUAAGUACCUGAAGGAAGAGAAAGAAAUUCGAUUCCGUAAGUAGCGGCGAGCGAACGCGGAUUAGCCCAAACCAAUAAAGUUUUCUUUAUUGGGGUUGCGGACAUAUCAUAACGAAGAGGUAUCGUAAUUGAAGAGGUUUGGAAAGACCCACCACAGAAGGUAAUAGUCCUGUAUGUUAAACGAGAAGACUUUAGAUAUGAUCCAGAGUACCACGGGACACGUGAAACCCUGUGGGAAGCAGGAGGGACCACCCUCCAAGGCUAAAUACUACCUAGUGACCGAUAGCGUAUAGUACCGUGAGGGAAAGGUGAAAAGAACCCCGGGAGGGGAGUGAAAUAGAACCUGAAACCCUGCACUUACAAGCUGUGGAAGCACAUUUCUUGUGUGACCGCGUACUUUUUGUAGAACGGGCCAACGAGUUACGUUAAGUAGCAAGGUUAAGCACUUAAGGUGCGGAGCCGUAGCGAAAGCGAGUUUUAACUGAGCGUUCAGUUACUUGACGUAGACCCGAAACCGGGCGACCUACCCAUGAGCAGGAUGAAGCGAAAGUAAAAUUUCGUGGAGGUCCGAACCCACGAGCGUUGAAAAGCUCGGGGAUGACUUGUGGGUAGCGGUGAAAUUCCAAUCGAGCCCGGAGAUAGCUGGUUCUCCCCGAAAUAGCUUUAGGGCUAGCCUCAAGGUGAGAGAUACGGAGGUAGAGCACUGAAUGUCCUAGGGGGUAUUGCACCUACCGAAGACUAUCAAACUCCGAAUGCCGUCAUCUUAUACUUGGGAGUCAGACUGUGGGUGAUAAGAUUCAUAGUCGAAAGGGCAACAGCCCAGAUCGUCAGCUAAGGUCCCUAAAUGUAAGUUAAGUGGUAAAGGAUGUGGGAUUGCACAGACAACCAGGAUGUUGGCUUAGAAGCAGCCACUCAUUCAAAGAGUGCGUAAUAGCUCACUGGUCGAGUGAUCCUGCGCCGAAGAUUUCCGGGGCUAAAACUUACUACCGAAGCUACGGCAUCAGUAAUGAUGGGUAGGGGAGCUUCCCAUACGGGUUGAAGCAUGACCGUAAGGACAUGUGGACAGUAUGGGAGUGAGAAUGUUGGCAUGAGUAGCGAGAUGUGGGUGAGAAUCCCACAGGCCGUAAACCCAAGGUUUCCAGGGGAAGGUUCGUCCGCCCUGGGUUAGUCGGGACCUAAGCUGAGGCCGAAAGGCGUAGGUGAUGGACAACAGGUUGAUAUUCCUGUACUACCGAUAACCGUUUGAGAGAAGGGAUGACACAGUAGGAUAAGCUAAGCACACUGUUGGUUAUGUGUGCCCAAGCAUUGAGGCAGUCAAAGUAGGCAAAUCCGCUUUGAUAAUGCUGGGAUGUGAUGGGGAGCGAAAUUUAGUAGCGAAGUAGCUGAUUUCACACUGUCAAGAAAAGUCUCUAUCGAGGUUAAAGGUACCCGUACCGCAAACCGACACAGGUGGGUGAGGAGAGUAUCCUAAGGCCAGCGAGAGAACUGUUGUUAAGGAACUCGGCAAAAUGACCCCGUAACUUAGGGAUAAGGGGUGCCACCAUCAGGUGGCCGCAGAGAAUAGGCCCAAGCGACUGUUUACCAAAAACAUAGGUUUCUGCUAAGUCGCAAGACGAUGUAUAGGAGCUGACGCCUGCCCGGUGCUGGAAGGUUAAGGGGAUCUGUUAGAGCAAUCGAAGCAGUGAACUUAAGCCCCAGUAAACGGCGGCCGUAACUAUAACGGUCCUAAGGUAGCGAAAUUCCUUGUCGGGUAAGUUCCGACCCGCACGAAAGGCGUAACGAUUUGGGGCGUAACGAUUUGGGCACUGUCUCAACAACAGACUCGGUGAAAUUGUAAUUCCGGUGAAGAUGCCGGAUACCUGCGACAGGACGGAAAGACCCCAUGGAGCUUUACUGUAGCUUGACAUUGGGUCUUGGUACUACAUGUACAGGAUAGGUGGGAGGCUUUGAAACCAGGACGCCAGUUUUGGCGGAGCCAUCCUUGGGAUACCACCCUUGUAGUACUGGGACUCUAACCAUAGGCCAUGAAUCUGGUCUUGGGACACUGUCAGGUGGGCAGUUUGACUGGGGCGGUCGCCUCCCAAAAGGUAACGGAGGCGCUCAAAGGUUCUCUCAGUACGGUCGGAAAUCGUACGUAGAGUGUAAAGGCAAAAGAGAGCUUGAUUGCAAGACAUACAGGUCGAGCAAGGAUGAAAAUCGGACUUAGUGAUCCGGUGGUUCUGCGUGGAAGGGCCAUCGCUCAACGGAUAAAAGCUACCCUGGGGAUAACAGGCUUAUCUCCCCCAAGAGUCCAUAUCGACGGGGAGGUUUGGCACCUCGAUGUCGGCUCAUCACAUCCUGGGGCUGUAGUAGGUCCCAAGGGUUGGGCUGUUCGCCCAUUAAAGUGGUACGCGGUCGCAGGCGUAGGAAAUUUGAGAAGACCUGUCCUUAGUACGAGAGGACCGGGAUGGACGUACCUCUGGUGUACCAGUUGUCCUGCCAAGGGCAUGGCUGGGUAGCUAUGUACGGAAUGGAUAAGCGCUGAAAGCAUCUAAGCGCGAAGCCAACUUCAAGAUAAGAUUUCCCACCGCAAGGGUAAGACCCCAGAAAGACUAUCUGGUUGAUAGGUCGAAGGUGUAAGUGCAGCAAUGUAUUUAGCUUAUCGAUACUAAUAGGUCGAGGACUUGACCAA
rnacentral:rRNA from 1 species